rnacentral:lncRNA from 1 species
CUUUCCACUCACUCCUUGUCAGCUGCACCUGGUCUCUCCCUCCCCCUCUUUCCUUACCCUGCUUUCCACUCUGUUCACCUUCCUGGCUCUCUCUCUCCUCUGGCCCUGGCAUCUCUCAAGCCUUUCUCCUUGCAUCCGUGUCUCCUUCCUGCCUCCCUUCCCCUCUAGCUCUUUCCCCCUCUCACCCCAGCCCCUUUCUGACCUGUGCCCAGGGGACGGACACAUAGACACUGCCUGCGCGUGGGCCUCCUCCCUUCUCCCUCCCGUCAGAGCUGCCAGCUCCACUCACCAGCUUCCCGUCCAGCCUGCCUUCCGGGGACCAGGACCGGCUCCUCGAGGGAGGCACAGACCUGAGCCCCUCGGCUCUGGACGCUGCUGCCGCUGGUGUGCCCUCCCCUGACCUCCUGCGGCAGGAACAACACAAAACGGUGCUUCCCCAGAGCCGUAGAAGAAACCGAGGCACAGAGCAGUUAAGGAGCAAGAGAUAAACAGAGCAGAAGCGGAAAGGAGAUGAGAGAGGUUUCCUCUCCAUUCCAGCUUUUCUGCCUUUCUGAAGAGCCAGCUCACUGCCCUGGAUACCCAAGGGUAGCCAUGGGCCCUGCCCAAGAUGCCGCUAUCCCUGAGACAGGGUGGCCAGGAAGAGAGCCCCGAGGAGAAGGACCUGGUAGGAGCAGGGGGAAGCCCUGAGGAGCUGGGUGAAGAUUUCCUGGCACAAGUCCUGGGGAAGGGCCCCAGACAGCAGUUCCUCAAUUCCCAGGGUAUAGAGGGUGGAGUCUCUGAAAGGCCACGGGGUGGAGACCCUGGCAUGAUUCAACAUUCACUCAACAAAAUAUUUAUUGAGCGCCUGCCAAUGCUAGACCCACAUGCUGGCCAGCAUCCCUGCCUGUGCAAGCUCUGGAUGAGCUGUGUGCCCCUGCCACCCACACCCCCACUCCCUGCCAGCCUGGCCUCAGGGCCUCUGAUCCAUGUGCACUGGAGUGGUGAUGACUGACAGGGCCACUGGGGCAUUUCCAUGUUAACAGCAGCUGCCACUGGCAAAAGAAGUGACUCGCCAAUGGUGGCAUCUCAGAUGUGGGCCCAGGAGUCUGGGGAGCUACUUUGAACAGGGCUAUCCAUUCAUUGUCCCACCAAAGGCUAUGGAGCCCACCCACCAUGUGCUGGAGUAGUCAAGGGAAAUAAGACACUCUCCUUGUCCUUGUUAACUCAAUCAACAAGCAUUUGCAGAGCACCGCCUGUAUGCCGGCGCUGUCCGAAGUGCUGAAGAUACAGCAAUGAGCAAACCAAAAGCCAUGGACAUCGGAUGAAACAGAGAAUUGUAAACAAUAAGUACAUCAUUUAGCUCUAUGGAAAACAGGAUAGAGAUUUCUCAAAGAACUAAAACUAGAACUACCAUUCAACCAGCAAUCCCACCACUGGGCAUCCACCCAAAGGAAAAGAAGUCAUUUAAUCAAAGAGACACCUGCACUCGUGUGUUCAUCGCAGCAACACUGUUCACAACAGCAAAGCCAUGAAAUCAACCUAAGUGUCCAUCAACAGAUGAUGGAUAAAGAAAAUGUGGUGAAUAUAUACACAGUGGGAUACUACGAAGCCAUAAAAAAGAACACAAAACCAUGUCUUUUGCAGCAAUGUGGAUGGAACUGGAGGCCAUUAUCUUAAGCGGAACAAGUCAAACACAGAAAGACAAAGAUUGCAUGUUCUUAUUUAUUUAUUUACUGAGAUGGAGUCUCACUGUGUCACCAGGCUGGAGUGCAGCGGUGCAAUCUUGGCUCACUGCAGCCUCCACCUCCCGAGUUCAAGCAAUUCUCCUGCCUCAGCCUCCCAAGCAAUUCUCCUGCCUCAGCCUCCCACAUAGCUGGAACUACAGGCACGUGCCACCACACCCAGCUAAUUUUUGUAUUUUUAGUAGAGGCAGGGUUUCAGCAUGUUUGUCAGGAUGGUCUCAAUCUUUUUACCUCAUGAUCUGCCAGACUUGGCCUCCCAAAAGGCUGGGAUUACAGGCAUGAGCCAGUGUGCCCAGCCUUUUUUUUUUUUUUUUUUUUUUUUUGAGGCAGAGUCUUGCUCUGUUGCCCAGGCUGGAGUGCAGUGGCGCAAUCUGGGCUCACUGCAACCUCUGCCUCCCGGGUUCAAGUGAUUCUCCUGCCUCUGCCUCCUGAGUAGCUGCAAUUACAUGUGCACACCACCAUGCCCAGCUAUUUUUUAUAUUUUUAGUAGAGACGGGGUUUCACCAUAUUGGUCAGGCUCGUCUCGAACUCCUGACCUCAGGUGAUCUACCUGCCUUAGCCUCUUAAGCAUGUUCUCAUGUAUAAGUGGGAGCAAAGCAGCCGGACGCAGUGGCUCACGCCUGUAAUCCCAGCACUUUGGGAGGCCAAGGCGGGCAGAUCACGAGGUCAGGAGGAGCUAGAGACCAUCCUGGCUAACAUGGUGAAACCCUGUCUCUACUAAAAAUACAAAAAAUUAGCCGGGUGUGGUGGCGGGCGCCUGUAGUCCCAGCUACUUUGGAGGCUGAGGCAAAAGAAUGGCGUGAACCUGGUAGGCGGAGCUUGCAGUGAGCUGAGAUCGUGCCACUGCACUCCAGCCUGGGCGACAGAGCGAGACUCCAUCUCAAAAAAAAUAAAAUAAAAUAAGUGGGAGCAAAGCAAUGUGCACCUGUGGCCACAGAGUGGAAUAACAGACAUUGGAGACUGGGAGGGUGGGAGGGAGGGAGGGGGCAAAGGAGAAGAAAUUUGCUAUUGGAUCCAGUGUUCACGAUUUGGGUGAUAGGCACUAAAAGCCCAGACUUCACCACCACACAGUAUAUCCAGGUAACAAAAAUGUGCUUGUACCCUCUAAUUUUUUUGGUUGUUUGUUUGUUUUUGAGACCGAGUCCCGCUGUGUUGCCCAGGCUGGAGUGCAGUGGCACGAUCUCGGCUCACUGCAAGCUCCGCCUCCCAGGUUCACCCCAUUCUCCUGCCUCAGUCUCCCGAGUAGCUGGGACUACAGGCGCCCACCACCAUGCCC